AAUGUCUCUGAUAAUUUUUCCAGAAUUUUUGGAGCUUUUGGAGUAUUUUUCUUGGCUUAAAUAAUAAUUCUAGGUUUUGAAGAAUUAACUUUAUAACUAAAAUUAAAUAUUCCGAAAAUAAUAAAAUAUAGUCCUUCUCCAACUUGGCUUUAACCUAGCGUUAUAAGUGCAUGCCUGUGUCUCUCUUUGAUCUAAAAUAUUUUCUUCCGAGCCGCCGCCAAAGUUCUUCCGACGUUGAAAAGUCGAUGCCGAGCAAAACAUGGAUGAAACGAUUGAGAGCCAUGAGCCCUGCCCUGACCAAGUCAUGUGCGU
rnacentral:lncRNA from 1 species